AUUGAACGCUGGCGGCAGGCCUAACACAUGCAAGUCGAGCGAGCGGCGGACGGGUGAGUAAUGUCUGGGAAACUGCCUGAUGGAGGGGGAUAACUACUGGAAACGGUAGAUAAAACAGCAUACCAUCAGAUGUGCCCAGAUGGGGUUGGCUCGUGGGGGGGGGAACGGCGCACCUAGGCGACGAUCCCUAGCUGGUCUGAGAGGAUGACCAGCCACACUGGAACUGAGACACGGUCCAGACUCCUACGGGAGGCAGCAGUGGGGAAUAUUGCACAAUGGGCGCAAGCCUGAUGCAGCCAUGCCGCGUGUGUGAAGAAGGCCUUCGGGUUGUAAAGCACUUUCAGCGGGGAGGCGUUACCCGCAGAAGAAGCACCGGCUAACUCCGUGCCAGCAGCCGCGGUAAUUC
rnacentral:rRNA from 1 species